UUACGAGGCAGCAAAAUGUGGGAUAACUAAAAAGGUAAAGAGAGUUGUCUGCUGCAGCUUGCCUUUUGAAACAACACAAAUGGGAACAACUCAUGCAUGCAAACACGAAGAGGACAGCACAGGGUGGUGGAGUGCCUGCCUCUUCCUAGGGCAGGAUCAUACCUAAGGAAACAGCUUCGGGGUGAGGGCACCGGAUUGACAUCUUGCCUGAAACAACAGGAUUAUCUUGUUCCAUCUCUGCCAUCAGGCAUAAGGAAUGAAAGAUCCUGAGCCCAAAGGACAGCAACUAAUUGCUCCCCAGACAAGAUGGACUGCUUCCUCAUGAGGUGUUGUAAAGGAAAAGCUUCUCUCCAUUCAAAGCUGGACAGGUACAUAGAGAAACAGCAGCAUGGCCAGGGGGUGCAGUGACGUUCGUCCUUGUCAAGCUGGCAGUCUGUUCCCAGGACUACCAAGCAAAAACACAGCUGUAUGAACAGAUACCUUUUGCUGUUUCAGACUUCCAGACAUUUGAAUCCUUCUCAUGCACACGUUUUUACACACUCUGAGAUGUUAGAUGUUUCACCAUUGGAAUGCGUAACGAAUCGCUUCUCUUCACACAAUAUAGCAAGAGUGUUACACAAAGCUGAAUUGCUGCAACUUCAAGACGAGCAAGAGGGAAGAUCCAGGAAACCACAGGUCUGUCAGCCUCACCUCGGUCUCCAAGAUGAUUGUGGAAGAAACACUCCUAAAAGCCAUUUCCAAGCAUUUGCAGGACAUGAAGGUGACUGGGAACAGCAAGUGCAAUGUGACUUUACCAAGGACAAACCUUUGAUGAGAAGACUGGCUCAGCAGAGAAGAGCAGUGCAUGCUGUUUACCUUGACUUUAGGAAGACAUUCAACAUAGGCUACAAGAGCAUUGUGGGAGAAUAAUUUGUGAGAUAUGGAGUGGACCAUAAGGUGGGUGUGCAGCUGGAUGGGCUAUUGGGUACAGAGUGGUGAUCAGCAGUACAAAGUCCAACAGAACUGUCUGGUUUUAAGGGUGCUCAUCACAGACCCAUAAAAAGGCCCAAAUAGUUCAAGUCCUCAUUAAUACCCGAGCUAUUGCACACUUGGCAAGUUCUUGUAUUAUAUCUGUUUUAAGGAGGGGUGUGUGUGUCAACAGUCUGGCAGAUAAAGCUGCUAUUUAGAGGAGUCUUUGCUUUUUUACCGUUGUUUUCUUUCUUAUUUGAAAGACUUUUUAACAUAAAAACCGUAAAAAGCAAGACGACCAAUGAAAUUCUAAAAAGCUAGGGCACUGCAGAAUGAAAAUUGACCAAGAAGAUUUCACUUAGUCUUCUUACACACCUAUGCUAUAACAUAGGCUUUAAUUUCAGGGACAGGCACUUAGCCUGCAUUCCUCAUGUAGGCUUGAGACUUCUAGAAUCUGACAGCUAGAAUGAUUCUGACCAUGGUGAAGUGAGCCAUGAGCCUCACAGCUGUGGUUUGAAUGUAUGAUACUAAGUGUUCUCAAAAUAUCCAGCUUUGGGUGUUUCACACUGGGCUUUCUAAAUGCAUAGAUACAUGGAUACAUUUUGCUUUGUCAAACUUGUUUCAUUUUCCCACCUGCGUAAUGGAGCUAAUACCUUCUUCCCAACAUGCACGUAUCAAAUGCCACAAAGAAGAAAUAACCUGGAAAAGCACAUUAAAAUAAUUAACUUCCAUACUGAGUUAUGGAAUUAGUACAGGUAUUUGGAGCACUUAAAAAGAUCUAGCGUUCAUCCCGAAAUGUUAGAUAAUACCUAGCUUCACUGAGUGUGUUCCCCAUUUAUCCAUCAGAGAGAUUGCCCUGGGUGAUUGAAAAUAGUGAUUAAAGUCUGUAAACAAGAUCCAGUAAGGAAUGCAAGCCUGUAAGCCUGGAAGUCCUAAACAGAUGAUCCUGAAAACUACCCACGCAGUUCCUGCAGAGGCACCUUGUAAUUUUACUUUGCUCCCCCAUGUAAUGUUUCCAUUUGGUUCUGGGUAUGCCCAGGUCUGGGAGCAGUCUGGAAGUAGCUGAGUGGCUAAACGUUUAUUUCAUGUGUACACACUGUUGGAUAAACAAGACAUUUUCUGCAGCAGAGAUCCUGGACAGGAUGGUACCGUGUAACAAAUAUCACAAGUCUAGGCUCUCUGGAACUAAACACAACAAAGGCUUUCUCUCAAAAAGCAAUGGUAUCAUUGUUAGUCUUCCAUAUGCCAGCACAGCAGCAAUAGAUUGAAUCAGAGGAAUUAAGAAAGUUCACAGUUUUGAAAAAUCUAAGGGUGUGUGGUUAGAUUGUUCCAUUGAAAAGAAAGAUGUGAAUCUCUGUCUGCAGAGGCUAGAAAGUCCUGUCUCUUGUCUCAUAUGUGAAUACACAUCCCCCAGGUUUUGGACUACCAGUGAAAGAAAGCUACUGUCACUUAGUUUUGCUACACAGACAGCAGGCAGAGGCUGCACACCAGAGUGUGAAGGAUGUCUCAUUUGAAGGGCCUGAUGAGGCUCAGGCACAAUCAAAGCUCCCGUGCUAACCUCUCUGCAGACUCAGGACUGAGGUGCUUACAGAGAUAACAAAAACUAGAGCUUUGGCAUAAAACAAACUUAUCCACACAGAACCAUGAAGUAAUAGGAGAACUGCCUUUAAAUGAGCAAGAAAAGUGCAGUUGCUUAGUCCAGCAGUCUGCUCCUGCCAGUUAGCCCUCCUGCACAGCUGGAUUCAUUGAAGCAGUAAUGCAACCCACUGCACAGCCUCAGAUAGUAUUCCCACUUGGCACUGCCUUGUGCUCUUUAAAUUCAUUAGCCUCUUUGACUUAGCUUGACUACCAGUACUGUAUACCAGUGGUAUGCCAACUAUAUACCAACAGUAUAGAUAUGUUCUUCACUACCAGUGUAAAUUCAGAGGGCCAAGAGUUUUUGCAGAAGGCUUAGAGAGCCCCUAAGCACGGACCUCAGCAAAGGUAGUCCUUGAGGGAACCUUGAGCCACAUCACUGCUUACCACUGCUUUGUUGUGACCUCAUGUUCCUGAUGCUUCUCCUAUCCUGAACAGUUCCAGAUCCAUGACGACUCUGUUUCCAAGUGUGCAACCUUGGGGAAUAUUGUCCUAGGGGAAAAUCAAUUGCUUCUCCCUUAUCCUCACCUUUAUUAACACACUGAGAACCUUUAGAACUUGAAACUUGAAUGCUACUUUACAGAAACUGUGUUCAUGAAUUUUGUGACCUUCAAAUUAUUAUCGCCAAUAGGUGAUAGGUGAAGAGAUGAACCACGUGGUUACCUGUUUAGCAACCACCACAAAGAAUCCUUAUUACAAGGGGAAUUGCUUUGCCAUACCAAUAAGGUACUAUAACUACUGUCAAAAUUAAGCAAUUUUAAAAACAUGUACAACAGCUUUUUAUUUUCCACAUUAACAAUAACUAAAAAAAAAAAUAAAAUAAACCCACAAAAAUUUAAAAAAGCCUACAGUGCUUUGUAGGAAGCAAGGAAGAAAAUAAGGAAAAGGAAAGAAGGAAAAGGGAGGAAAAGGAGGGAAGGAAGCCUGCAGGCCAUAUCUCUCUUCACACAGAGACAACUGUUUGGUUGAGAGCACUGCAUUUUGUGGUGCAUUUUUUUCAGUAAAGUGAAUCUUGAAGAAAAGUAAUAAUACAUCCUGUCUAUGUUCAGCUAAUGAAAUUAGGAAUAUUUAAAAAAAAAAAAAGAGAGAGAAAAAUAGCAAAAUACAAAUCAAAAUGAUGAUUCCAUGACUGCAAUUCAAUCAGUGGUAAUUUACAGAAAGGUUUGCUCCAAAAUCAAAUAUAUGUGUGUAUAUAUAUACAUAUGUAUAUGUAUAUAUAUGUAUAUAUCCUGGUCAAUCUUCUAUGAAGAAAUUAACAGCAUGCAUGCAUUCAUUACUUGGGCUUUCUCUUGAAAUUCUAAUUGUACCUUGUGAUCUUCCUUAACCAGGACCACAGUACAUUUCUGGUGUCUUUCUAC
ensembl:lncRNA